ACGUAGGGUGCAAGCGUUAAUCGGAAUUACUGGGCGUAAAGCGUGCGCAGGCGGCUACAUAAGACAGCUGUGAAAGCCCCGGGCUUAACCUGGGAACUGCGGUUGUGACUGUGUGGCUAGAGUGUGGCAGAGGGGGGUGGAAUUCCACGUGUAGCAGUGAAAUGCGUAGAGAUGUGGAGGAACACCGAUGGCGAAGGCAGCCCCCUGGGUCGCCACUGACGCUCAUGCACGAAAGCGUGGGGAGCGAACAGGAUUAGAUACCCUGGUAGUCCACGCCCUAAACGAUGCCGACUAGGUGUUGGGGAAGGAGACUUCCUUAGUACCGUAGCUAACGCGUGAAGUCGGCCGCCUGGGGAGUACGGUCGCAAGAUUA
rnacentral:rRNA from 1 species